rnacentral:rRNA from 1 species
AGAAUCAACGCUGGCGGCGUGCCUAACACAUGCAAGUCGCACGAGAAAGUGGAGCAAUCCACGAGUACAGUGGCGCACGGGUGAGUAACACGUGACUUAUCUACCUCCGAGUGGGGGAUAACCUAGAGAAAUCUGGGCUAAUACCGCAUAAUACCUUCGGGUCAAAGGAGCAAUUCGCUUAAGGAGGGGGUCGCGGCCGAUUAGUUAGUUGGCGGGGUAAUGGCCCACCAAGACUAUGAUCGGUA